rnacentral:rRNA from 1 species
UACUCGAGUGGCUAACGGGUGAGUAACACGUGGGUGAUCUGCCCUGCACUUCGGGAUAAGCCUGGGAAACUGGGUCUAAUACCGGAUAGGACGACGGUUUGGAUGCCAUUGUGGAAAGUUUUUUCGGUGUGGGAUGAGCUCGCGGCCUAUCAGCUUGUUGGUGGGGUAAUGGCCUACCAAGGCGUCGACGGGUAGCCGGCCUGAGAGGGUGUACGGCCACAUUGGGACUGAGAUACGGCCCAG